rnacentral:rRNA from 1 species
UACUCCGCAAGGAGGUCCAGUCGAGGUGCUGCAUGGCUGUCGUCAGCUCGUGUCGUGAGAUGUUGGGUUAAGUCCCGCAACGAGCGCAGCCCUUGUCCUGUGUUGCCACUCCGCAAGGAAGCACUCUCAGGAGACCGCCAGCGAUAAGCUGGAGGAAGGUGGGGAUGAUGUCAAGUCAUCAUGGCCUUUAUGUCCAGGGCUACACACGUGCUACAAUGGACGGUACAAAACGCUGCAAACCCGCGAGGGGGAGCUAAUCGCUAAAAACCGUUCUCAGUUCGGAUCGCAGGCUGCAACUCGCCUGCGUGAAGCUGGAAUCGCUAGUAAUGGCGUAUCAGAAUGACGCCGUGAAUACGUUCCCGGGCCUUGUACACACCGCCCGUCACAUCACGAAAGUGGAUUGUACUAGAAGUCCUAAUCAAACAGGCCCAAGGUAUGAUUCAUGAUUGGGGUGAAGUCGUAACAAGGU